ensembl:lncRNA
AGAGAUUGGAUGGAUUAACUGAGGGCAAAGGAGAAAAAGCUAAAUAUUUCAAGACACCUUUGGAUCAGUGACUCGCAAUCCUAAAUUGAGGAGUGCCAAAGAAGCAGGGUUGCGAGAUGAAUCUAAACAGGGUGGUUGGAUGUGUCAUUAGUUUUCCUGAUCAUAACCCAGAGGUCUGGACAGCUUCAAGCUCAACUGUUGACCUGGUGAAAUCUUCCUAAAGUUCAACUCUCCAGGUCACUUCAAGGAUGCAGUCCCACCAGGAUAUCUCAACGCAGACACAGCCACUCACAAACACUCAGAUAAGACAUAAGAAACCUGAGGGAUGUGAGAGAACAUCUGUUGAGAAUUUGCUUUCUGAAUUACACGAGAAUGGAGUGCCAUUUGAGUUCACCGGGUUGAACAGGUGACUCAUAAUGCAAUAAGGCUAUUUUAGAGCCUGCAUGUCUUCCCCCUGCUCUCUCCCAGCUUUCCUGUCAUAAUAAAGGCUUUAAAAAAACCAUAAAAAGAAUGCUAAAUGUAAAACUUCAAUAUUUGAAGUGGUAAUAAUCCACAUUAUUCAGAUAGAUGGAUUUAAUUAUCUUUAAAAAAUGUCUUGUUGCUGACCUUCUGAAAAUGUAAGUAUUUUGAGUGACCAGUAGGACGUACUAUGAAGCAUGCUCAACAUAGCCAGGAUUUCUUUGUAUCAGCUGGCUUGAAAAAGUCUAAAAUCUAGUCAGAGAAAACUGGUAUCACAAUGGUGGUUAUCGGAUUUGUUUGUUAACUCGGGCUUUCUGCUUUAGGCUCUUAGUGCACUCACAUAAAGCAAAGCUUCUGAUGGGUCAUUUGACUCUUCUGCGCAAAAUAGAUCAACUGAGCACGAGGUGCUACAAGAGGAACGGGUGAUAGAUAUCUAUAAAGAACAGAAAUAAUAUAACAGUAAAAUACAACCCUGCAGCUGCAAAGUAGACAAGAGAAUUACGCUGCAGAAAAUCAUUAAUUUUAUGAAUUAAUUGUCAUCACAAACUCACAGUGGUAGAAAAAUAUAUCAACA